rnacentral:rRNA from 1 species
AGUGAACGCUGGCGGCAUGCCUAACACAUGCAAGUCGAACGGUAGCACACUAACGGCUGGCGCUUACGGGUGACGAGUGGCGGACUGGCGAGGAACACAGCGGAACGUACUUUUUCGCGAGGGGUAACGUUGGGUAAUGUACGCUACUAUCGCAUGCGGCCAGCAGGUGAAAGCAGGGGCUCGUCGGGCCUUGCGCGCCUGAAGCAGACGAUGUCGGUUUAGGGAGUUGGCGGGGUAAAGGCCCACCACGGCGGCGAUCCGUAGCUGGUCCGAGAGGAUGAUCAGCCACACUGGCACUGAGACACGGCCCAGACUCCUACGGGAGGCAGCAGUGGGGAAUAUUGGACAAUGGGCGCAAGCCUGAUCCAGCCAUACCGCGUGGAGGAGGAAGGCCUUCGGGUUGUAAAGUCCUUUUGUAGGGAACGAAAAGCCGCAGGUUAAUACCGCACGGUUCUGACGGUACCCUAAGAAUAAGCACCGGCUAACUUCGUG